CAGCCGCCGCGGGAAUACGAAGGGUGCAAGCGUUACUCGGAAUUACUGGGCGUAAAGCGUGCGUAGGUGGUGGUUUAAGUCCGCUGUGAAAGCCCUGGGCUCAACCUGGGAAUUGCAGUGGAUACUGGGUCACUAGAGUGUGGUAGAGGAUAGUGGAAUUUCCGGUGUAGCAGUGAAAUGCGUAGAGAUCGGAAGGAACAUCUGUGGCGAAGGCGACUAUCUGGGCCAACACUGACACUGAGGCACGAAAGCGUGGGGAGCAAACAGGAUUAGAGACCCCCGUAGUCCCUGUCUCUUAUAC
rnacentral:rRNA from 1 species